AGAGGGAGGGUGAACAAGAGGGGAACGGAAGAGGAUGGAUUUUGCCUUUUCUGGUAGCUAGAGCGAACUAGAGAAGCUCUUUGUGUUGGAAGUGGUGCUGAGACAGAAACGAGGAGAGAGCGACUGAAAGGCUGGAAUGGUGUGAGAGCACAGAGAAGCAGACUCCUCCAGGGCUUUUCGUUGCUGUAGUAAGGGCCACACCUCCAGGACUGAACCAUGGAUGACGACUUUGAGUUGCGCAGGGAGCAGAGGAGACAGAAGAGAGAGGAGAUGCGGCUGGAAGCAGAAAGGAUGGCCUACCGCCGGACUGAAGAGGAUGAGGAAGAGGCAGCUCGUGAGCGUCGGCGAAGAGCACGCCAAGAACGUAUUCGAUACAAGGAUGGCGAGGAGGUAGCUAACCCAGCUGAGAGCGUGGGGCUGAACAGCCACAGUGUCACAGUAACAGAGACAGUGUCGAGCUCCGAGAUGAGCUCGGGCAGGGCCGGUGAGGGAGAUGAUGAUGAGCUGGCCCUGCUUGACCGUCUGGCCAAGCGUGAGGAGCGCAGGCAGAGAAGGAUGAAGGAGGCAAUGGACAGACAGAAACAGCUGGAGUCCAUCGACGCUCCAUCCUACAGCUCCUACAGUGUGGAGAGUUCUUCUACCACCUCUUACCGAGCAUUCAACGACCAGGAGGAUGAGUCAGCACUCAAUAGCAAGGAGGAGGUGAAAGAGGACCUGAAGGAGGAGGUCAUUCCACAGAAGGAGGUGGUGGAGGAGAAGCCACGCAGGUCUUACUUGAGGGAGCAGGAAUCCACUGAGGAAAAAGCUAAAAUAGAAGAUGAGAUGGAGGAUGAGGACCCAGGGAGGAAGAGCAAGCAGCAGAACGGGGGAGUGUAUGAGGACAGCAAACACAAACAGGUGGAGAGAACUCAGAGCCGUGGCAGUGUGCACUCUUCCGAAGGUCCACCAGCAGAGGAAGGGGACGACGGGGAGCAAACACGCCUGGAGGCUGAAAGGAAGCUGGAGGAGCUGAAGAGGAGGAGAGACGAGACUGAGAGCGAGGAAUUUGAGAGAAUGAAACAGAAGCAACAGGAGGCCGAGGCCGAGCUGGAGGAGCUGAAGAGGAAGAGGGAGGAAAGGAGGAAGGUGCUAGAGGAAGAAGAGAGGCUGAAGAAGCAAGAGGAGGCUGAGCGGAAGGCAAGAGAGGAGGAGGAGAAGAGGAGAAUGAAGGAGGAGAUAGAGAGGAGGAGAGCGGAGGCAGCUGAACGGAGGCAGAAGGUCGAGGAAGAGGUAGACGGAGAAGCCAGCAAGCCCUUUAAAUGUGUUAGCCCCCGAGGAUCCUCUCUGAAGAUUGGUGAAAGGGCAGAAUUCCUCAACAGGUCAGCGCAGAAGAGUGCCGUGAAGGCAUCUCAGUCUCCCGUGGUGUCAAAGAUAGAUAACAGAUUGGAGCAGUACACCACGGCUGUGCAGAGUAAUAAAGAGGUGCGCUCACCACGCGUGGCUGCAAUCGACCUGCCUGUGGUUUCUGAUGGUGUGCGGAACAUUAAGAGCAUGUGGGAGAAGGGCAACGUUUUCAGUUCCACCAUCAGCACACCCUCCAGCAACAAGGAUGCAGCUGGAAUAAAGGUGGGCGUCGCAGGCCGCAUCAACGAUUGGUUGAAUAAAACACCAGAGAGCAAAACGCCAGGAGGAAGACCUGGGCUACAAGACCUGAAACCUGGCGAUGUUAGUGGCAAGCGCAAUCUAUGGGAAAACAAAAGCUCCUCUGCUACCAAGACUUCUUCCUGCUAGUUGUCUUCAGAUUUGGCUCCUUGAGGAGGUGACAAGCAGAGGAGAGAGCAAAUCUGUUGCCAAUGGAAUGGGUCACUAACCUUUCCAAGAAGCCGCAGCACCAGGGACCAAGUGAAAGCACCAUAUUCCUGUCACAUGCAUGUACUCAUACCAAAAAUACCAAAAAUAAUCUUUUAUGUUUUCUUUGGCUCCAGACCGCAUGGUCCUGAUUGCAGAAUAGUGUUUCAAAUGAAGCCACUUUUAUAGUGUGAAAUGUGGACAUUUAGAUCAACUGAAAAUACUGAGCAGUUCGAAAAUGACCCAUUUCCUUUAGCUGGAUUAGACAUAUUUAAAUACCGUGCAUAAUUUCACUCAUCAUUUUAAACAGCUUAUAAUGUGUUGCUUUUUUAGAAUCUCUUCUCUGCUAGUCACCCUUCACACCUUUUAAUUUAUAAUUAAAGCAAAGCUUGACAUAUUCAUAUUUUAUUCAUGUUCACCAGUCCAGGGCAAAAUAUGGGCACCCAUAGAGUAGUGUAUUUUUUACUUUUACUUUUUUUGGGGGGGUCAAAGUGACACAUUUUUAAUAGUGAAACUAUGGUCUUAAUAAUAUAUGUUAGCACAUAGUGUAUGUUUUGUAAUUAACUAUAUAUUUUGUAUGUUUCCACUUUAUAUAAACUGACAUUCCUGCUUCUGCUCUCAAUAUUAAGCUCGGAUUACAGCCAUUAUAGACAUUAAUGAUUAUUAUCACAGUAUCUUCUUUUCUUCAUUUUUGUUUCAAGUGCUUUUUAGCCAGUAUAUUCAACAUGAUGUAUCACAUUUCAAGUAGACAUAAACGCUUUGCUCUGCACUGAAUAAAGGGAACAUAAAAUGGAGAAAAAAAAAAGACUUUCACAAACAUUUCUCUGCAUAUAAUACUUGCUUGAGUUGCCAUUAUCAUUUUGAAAGUGUGUUCAGUAUGUAAAAGGACAGAUGGCUCUAAGCCAUUACUGUGGACCAAUUAACGUUGUCUGUUUGUUCUUUUUUUUCAUUCACCCUCCAGCACUUCAUUUAGAGUAGAACCCUGGAUAUUGUCAACAGUAUAAUUGGACUAUAGUAUGUGCUGGUGGACAGACAGUCAGUGGCUUUUUGAAUCAGCAGGUUUCACUGGUUAAUGUUUAUGUGACUGACGGUAGAUUGUGGCUUGUGUUGUGUUGUUGGGGUUAGUUUCCCCGAUUUAGUAUUUUGGUUCAUGUUUUAAAAUGUGAAAACGUCUGAGUUUUGGUCUUUGACAAUCAAUUAAGAGACAAAGUUAUACUCUGUAUAUUUUCCAUAAUGAACCUUGACUGUAUUGGGGUAAUUCUCUGCAAAUCAUGCCAACUUUAAUUCUUUACCUUUUAACACUCUGACCAUUUAUUGUAAUCAAGUUUCACACAGGACAUCUUUUAAAUAUUGUAUCAUUCUCUCAAAACAGCAAUAAAGAGAUCAAUGUAAAAAAAAAA